rnacentral:rRNA from 1 species
UACGUAGGGGGGCAAGCGUUUGUCCGGAAUCAUUGGGCGUAAAGCGCGUGUAGGCGGCUCGAUAAGUCCGUUCUGAAAGUCCAGGGCUCAACCCUGGGAUGCGGAUGGAUACUGUCGAGCUCGAGUCCGGAAGAGGCGAGUGGAAUUCCUGGUGUAGCGGUGAAAUGCGCAGAUAUCAGGAGGAACACCAAUGGCGAAGGCAGCUCGCUGGGACGUGACUGACGCUGAGGUGCGAAAGCGUGGGGAGCAAACAGG